GAUGAACGCUGGCGGCGUGCCUAAUACAUGCCAGUCGAGCGAACAGACGAGGAGCUUGCUCCUCUGACGUUAGCGGCGGACGGGUGAGUAACACGUGGAUAACCUACCUAUAAGACUGGGAUAACUUCGGGAAACCGGAGCUAAUACCGGAUAAUAUAUUGAACCGCAUGGUUCAAUAGUGAAAGACGGUUUUGCUGUCACUUAUAGAUGGAUCCGCGCCGCAUUAGCUAGUUGGUAAGGUAACGGCUUACCAAGGCAACGAUGCGUAGCCGACCUGAGAGGGUGAUCGGCCACACUGGAACUGAGACACGGUCCAGACUCCUACGGGAGGCAGCAGUAGGGAAUCUUCCGCGAUGGGCGAAAGCCUGACGGAGCAACGCCGCGUGAGUGAUGAAGGUCUUCGGAUCGUAAAACUCUGUUAUUAGGGAAGAACAAAUGUGUAAGUAACUAUGCACGUCUUGACGGUACCUAAUCAGAAAGCCACGGCUAACUACGUG
rnacentral:rRNA from 1 species